rnacentral:sRNA from 1 species
AUCUUCCAAAAAAAAAAAAUAUAUAAAUAGCAUAAAAUUGAAUGUACGGCACAAUAAGAAAUAAUCUUAAAGUUCCCCGAAUCGCCAAAAUAAAAAAUUCAUCCAUGUCCAAACAAAACUUCAACCAAAGUGUCCAAAGAAAGUCACAGUGCAAGUAUCAACAAAUCACCCAUUAGCAAACAGUAGCUAGUAGUAGUAGUAAUUGUUAUGCCGCCAAAUAGUGAAAAUAAAAACAAAACAAAAGUUCAAAAUUCACAAAAAAAGGUUUAAUUAAUAACCUAUAAAUGCAGUGCCAUAAAAACCGCGUGAAUUUCAAAAACAUGUUUGCGUCAAUCCUAUACACCCACAGGCGUAUAUACAAAAAUAAAUAAACUCACCAAUAUAUCAAUGGUGCUUAAGAGUGUACCCGUGUAGAGUAGUGCAACGGUACCAAACGCAAGUGUGCGUAACCCACUCAAAUGAUGAAUGGGGGUGGGGGGGAAUGUAUAACCAACAUGCCAACAAGUGUAAUGGAGUGAACCAAGAGUGAAAUGGAAAAAACAAAGAAGAAAGAAAAAAUCGAAUGUCGGAAUUGGAACUCAAAGUGCUAAAAAAACGAAUAAAGUGAUGGACAGCAAAAAUAACGAAAAAAAGAGAGUAUGUCUAAAAAAAUUUAAAUUAAAUUUCGGACGGAUAGAAAAUUACCAAAGUCCACAAAUUGAAAAUGAACCAAAAAAUUUUGAUGCCCAAUAAUUAAGUGCAAAACGGUGAAGAUAAAAAACAAUAUCCCAAAUAAAAAAAUUGCGUGUCAAGGUGGAAAAGUAAACCAAAAUGAUGUGAAUGCGGUCGAAAAACGGAAGUUGCAAUAAAAAUCAAAAACAAAACAAUUGGAGUGGUGUAAAUGAGUUCAAUGGCCUGACGAGUGAAAGUGAAAAGUGAAAGCUACUGCAAAACAUUAAAUAUUUCAAUAAAAAAAUAAAAAUGCCAAAAAUAAUGAGUAAUUGCGCAUAAAGGCUAAAGUUUACCAAUCGACCAUCGGCAACCAAUAAAAACGAAAUAAAGUGAUAAAUCAAUAAAGAAAAUUAAUGUGAAUGCAGCAGUGAAAAAGCCAAUUUCAGUAAAAAAAACAGAAAAUUCUAAAAAAACCAAAAAAAAUAAAAAUGAUUUUGCCAAUUUUUUAAAUUUUACUUCUCUGCCAAAAACUUGCCAAAAGCUUUUACAGUGGCCGCCCUUGAAACUAUUGCCGGCAAAAUUCUUGUGUGUUCUACUCGUUUGACUGGGUCGUUCAACAUCUCUAGUUUACGCGCGAUCUUAUAAACGCUACCAUGUGUGGCGAUGUUGACCCCGAAUAGCGCAUAAUAUGGUUUCACCUUUAUAGCGCUAUGCACCGACGAGCGCAAGGAACACUCCACUUCCGAAAGGUGCCUAUCCCAUUCGCGAUGGUCCUCCUGAAGGUAUGCCCUUAUCACGGCCAGUACCAACAGGUUCACCCGGUUAAACAUUAUGGCUUACCCAAAAUGUUUAACCAACUCCUGGAAUUCCCUAUUUACAAACUGUUUGCCAUUGUCAGAGACCUCUGUCCAAUGACCUCUGGAGUGCCAAACUUAUGGAAAACUUCUGAAAUCAGAAACUUUACCACAUUUUUGGCACUCGCCUUGGCCAUUGCUUUUAACAGCAAGUAUUUAGACAUAUGGUCUAAAACAAUAAAAAUAUAGGAGCGCGGAUAAGGGCCUAAGAAGUCAACGUAUAUGCGUUGGAAUGGUCGCUCCACUUUAAAUUCCUUCCCCAUGGGCGGACGUAAAGUUGUGGUUGCCGGCUUUGUUUCCUUGCACACCUGGCAUUGAUUUACAAAACUUCGCACCUGCAAAUUCAUAUUUGGCCAGUAAAAGUACUCCUUAACUCGGUGCAAAGUCUUGUGCAACCCGCCAUGAGCCGACGUAGGCGGACAAUGAGCCCUUUCAAUGACUUCCUCAGUCAGCUCGGCGGGUAUCCACCACUUCCACGCGAAAUCUUCACGCAAUGGAUCGCCAUCGUAGUGUCGCGUUCUCUUAUAGGCAAUGCCAUCGAUGACUCGAAAAUCGGGUAAACUAGGUAAACUUGUUUCAGCUGAUCAAAAGCAGUCUUCGCCUGGUCGGUAAAGAUAAAGGUCUUGCUUUUUUUAAGGGUAUCGAUGAUCGGGGUCGCUAUCGUCGCGUAUCCGGGUUUGAAACGCCUAUACCAACCGGUAGCGCAAAUGAAGCUUCUCACCUGCAUUGCUGUCUUCGGGUAGUCAAAUCGUGUUAUGGUUUCAACUUUCGCUGGAUCCGCCUUGAGAGUACCUCCACCAAUAAUAUAGCCUAAGUAUCGGAGCUCUUUGAAACAAAAUUUAGAUUUUGCUACAUUGAUUGUGAGCCCCGCAUUAGCUAACAAAUCGGCAACACGAUUCAGCAACUCCAGGUGAGUGUCAAAAUCUGGCGAUACCACCAAGAGAUCGUCCAAGUAAACAAUAACACGGUCUCUUAGUGCUGCGGGAACCACUUUGUCCAUUAACCGGCAUAACCUCUGUGCUGCAUUACACAAUCCAAAAGGCAUGACGGUGAAAUGGUAAAGAGGCCUCCCAGGCACCGUAAAGGCUGGGUUUCUCUUUACUGGAUUCGUCAAGGGGUAUCUGCCAGAAAGCAUCCUUUAGGUCGACAAUGGAUAUAUAAUAGGUAUCACCAAGCCGGCUGAGUAGACCUUCAAUAUGCGGAAGAGGAUAGGCGUCCUUGUCGGUGAGGGCAUUCAGCUUGCGAGCAUCAAUGCAUAGUCUAUUUUUCUCGCCCUUGCGGACUAAUGUCACUGGAUGACUUCAGGGACUAUCGCUCGGCUCUAUCACCCCCAAGGCUAACAUCCUAUCCAACUCCGCAUACAUUAAUUUCUGCACAGCUGGCGACACCGGAUAGUGCUUACUUUUCACUGGAGUUGCAUCACGUGUGUCGAUUGUGUGUACCUCAGACUGUGUCUGGCCCAAGCCUUUCUCAGUAAAGCAAGGGAAUUUUUCUAUCACAUCUUCCAAGCGUUUUCGCUGAAAGUCUGACAACACAUGGACUUUCUUGUCAUCAUUGACACAGCCGUCAGCUUCUUCACAAAGGCUCACAUUGUUGGUGGUCAAACUCUCAAUUUGAGCAAAAAGUUGAAAUUUGCGCAUAAAAUCUAUGCCGAGGAAAAGAGACUUUCCCAAAGAUGGUACCAAAAAGAAAGUUAUUUCAUGAGACAUUUUAUUAAAGAAGACGGUGGCUGUGGCCCUGCCUAUUCUUUUAUGUGGACUUUCAUCUGCCGUGUGUAUAUACGAGUGGAAUGGAUGUACUGCUGACGGUGGCUUGCGAGAAGGCUUUCCGCUCUUUUAACUUCUCAGUAAAAGCUUCCCAAGUCGUUAACUCUCACUGAGAAUAUCAUCUGCGGCAAUGCUGUUUUCAGGUUGCCCCUCAUAAUCUCUACCAUUUCCGCUUCUCGAUAGGGUUGCUUCUGCUGGUUUCGCAACUGAAUCACCGCAUUAUAAAAAUCCUCGAAGGAUUCUUGGGGCUGCUGACGACGAUUCAGAAUUUGCGUUUGAAUCUGGAAUUCGUUUUCAAACCGCUGGUAUUGCGUCAGCAGAGCCCUCUCAAUUUCUUCCCAAGAUGGAAAUUGCACACAUUUGCGGUGGUUCCAGUACCAGUCAAGAGCUGGUUUCUCCAGGAGUUGGUGGAAUUUGGUUAGAAACUCGCCUUCAGGGCAAUCAUAAUCUCGUUUUAACUCGCCUACGCGAAAUAUAAAUUCUUGGACGUUCAUGGUUUUGGAGGUUCCAUCAAAUUUAAUGCCUCAUUUAGCCAGAUUUAGCUUGCCGGCCGAAUCCGUGUGUGUGCUGCUUCCAAGCCUUCCAAAAUGUGAAGAAGGACCUGGGAAAUGCGCUUGGUGCAACGGCGGCGGCAAAUAUGGUGGUGGUUCACUAGUAUUAGGCUGUUGUGGCGUCUCAUUAAAGGGCGUAUAAUAGUUUGGCUGUGGCCAGGAAUUACGGUACACCGAUGGCAUGCUAAGACCGCCGGCCUCUGAAACUGGUGGUGCUGGUAUAGAUGAUGGUGGGACAGCGCUGCUGCUUGGUACAAAAGGCGGUGUCUGUGAGUAUAAUGCCCCGGCCCGUUGAUAUCACGAGACUGGUGGAACUACUGGUGCCUGCAUAUGUGGCAAACCCCUAGACGGAUGCGUUUGCGUUGGCCCCAAGGACAUAUGGUGUCUCUGGCCUAGUAGUGGACGCCCGGGCUGUCCUGUUGCCAGCUGAGCCAUGGGUACAUUGUUAGGAGGCACGGAAUUACUCACUCCUAACAAUCUUUUAGUAGCUUCAACAAUGGUAGGUAUCAAGCUGUUGAUUCUUUCUGUCUGUUCCCUCUCGAACUCUAUUCGGGCUAGACCAACGGCUGAAGAGAUAAUUUCGCGCAUGCCAAUACUUAUAGCCGGAUUUGCUGGAGGCACUGGGACAUUGAGACCAGUGAGUGGGCUAUAAGUUGGAGAGGAUAUAUGGCCUUGCGAGCCGAAUGUGCUGCUGAAUAGCCGAGACAAAUCGUCCAUGCCUGGAGGUAGUGGUGGAGCAACGGACGAAAGCGCUGAUGAGAUGGGAGCAUUGCUGGCUGCCGUUGUGGUUGUUGUUGCUAUCGUGGAAGUCCGAGCUGGUUGGGUUGUAUUCGCCUGAAAAUUCGAGAAGUUCCUGGCUGCAUCCUGGGACGCCCAGAAUCUUCUCUGCUUCCCGAACGAGUAUUCAGUAAAAACGCCGAAGGGAAAAAGGAACUACAAAUUCAUGUAACGGAUCGGUGGUAGGUAACAACUAAACAAAAAGGUAAGUAAAUGUAAAAUGAUGUACGUAUCGUAUAGUGCCAGUGUAUGCAUGUUCUAAUAAAUUAAUGUAUUUUAUUUCCAAGGUUUCGUGAGUGUAAACGCAGAAGACAAAAAACAUGAAAGAUAGAAAGUUAGCUACGAUGGACAACACGUAGAAACAUAAAUCUUUGCCUGACUCUACAGCCCAUGGACUAAGCCACGAAUGCGUAUGAGGACGAAGAAUAGUGUGUAUCCCGUGAUAAAAAAAGUGUAGGAACAGGACCAGGAAUAAUGCGAGAUGGACUCCCAGAUCGGUAGAUGAUGAUGGCACCAGCUUGGUACCGGUAGAUGGACCCUCAGUUGAUCUGUCCGUCCGUAUGUGUCUGUCUGUUUAUUGUCUUUUUCUCUCAGUGGCGUUAUAUGUAAAAAUAUACAUAUGCAUGUAUUUUUCUUAGAUUCUCUUGCAUUAGAGACAGCACAAUCGGCCUCACUUAUGGGACACUACCCCCACUUUAAACCUACGCCAAAGCUACCUAAGCUGGGCUCAACCUGAGACGCCUUGGGCACCUUGUAUACAAAAGUUAAAAAAGGCUGAAACAAAA